rnacentral:rRNA from 1 species
GGUAUGGGAUUGGACAGAUGCUUAACAUUAGGCUGGCCCCAGAACCGGUGCUGUUUGGCUGUCGUCAGCUCGUGUCGUGAGAUGUUGGGUUAAGUCCCGCAACGAGCGCAACCCUCGCCCUUAGUUGCCAGCAUUUAGUUGGGCACUCUAAGGGGACUGCCGGUGAUAAGCCGAGAGGAAGGUGGGGAUGACGUCAAGUCCUCAUGGCCCUUACGGGCUGGGCUACACACGUGCUACAAUGGUGGUGACAGUGGGCAGCGAGACAGCGAUGUCGAGCUAAUCUCCAAAAGCCNNUCUCAGUUCGGAUUGCACUCUGCAACUCGAGUGCAUGAAGUUGGAAUCGCUAGUAAUCGCAGAUCAGCAUGCUGCGGUGAAUACGUUCCCCGGGUCUUGUAC